CCCAGUUUGGGAACUGGCUGGGGAGAGUGAGAAAGAAAGAGAGCCGGGGCGUGCAGAACACGUUUCACAUCACCUCAGAGCUGUGGAAUUUCCUCUCUUCUGGGGGGAGGCCUGUGAAGAUGGAGUUGGUUGAAGGCUGACCGGAAAGACACAGGAAGAGACUGCCAGGGCUCACCUGUUGUGGACACUGUGAGAGCAUCCUGAGAGGGACUGAGGAGCUCUGAAGAAAAGCCUCACCCAGGACAUCCCUGUGCCAGAAACGAAGGAUGGGAGAUGCCAGGGAGGAGGGGGAUCUCGGGUUGGCAGCAGACUGGCUAGGAGAGGGCAGCCUCCAGUCAGUCACUGAGGCAGCAGUCUGUGUUUGGGGGCACCCAGGGUGCCCAAGAAGGAGAACUACAAUCAGUCAGCAUUGGGGGGCUGAGGAUUGUGUCAGGCUUGGAGAAGGUGUUUUAUCACGACUACAGUAGGCCUUCCCUGUGGAUCCCAGUUUGAUGGAGAGAUGAGGAAGUGAAGACUCAGGGAUGAAAUGAUUUGUCCAGUUCUCUCUGCGUGUCUCAGUUCCAAGCUGACAUCUGUUGAGCACUUACAACAUGCCAGGCCCUGUAGCCAAGCUUCACAUUGACUCCUCAGGAAAACCCUGUGAGGUUAAGUAUUCUUGGCCUCAUUUUCCAAGUCAGGAAGCAGGCUCAGAGAGGUUAAGGAACUUGCAAAAAGCUCCCUCCUAGGAAGCGCUGGGAGUGAGGGAGUGAGCUGUCACCUGGAAUCCGGGGGAAUCCUAUUCUUCACUCUUGAACACUGCCUUCAGUUAUUCAAAUACCCCAGGAACUUCUGUGCCAAAUUGCUUUUAUCCUUGAAGCGUUCCUAGGGAAGGCCCCUCAGGUUCCAGGGUGUGCUGUGACUGCCUGAGAGGGCAGGGGCUGG